CGACUCUAAAACAGACAAAACAACAACAAAUACAGAAAAUGCAACUCAAAGAAAACCAACGAAAUAACUCCAAAAACACAAAAGUACACAAAAAGCCUCCAACAAUCACACAAAACAAGAACAAAAACACAUAAAAUGUCUGUAUAAACACACCAAAUGACAAUCAAAACACAAUAUAAGCAAAGCAUACAUAGAAAUUGCAGAAAAAUAUACAAAAUGACAACGAAAACAGGCUAAAAGCCUUUAUUGUUUCCUGUAUUAAUGCUCAGAAUGGUCAUUAUUCUAAAUGUGGCUAAUGUGGCCCUCAGAUCAGUCAAUUAGAACUUCUGUGGUUUAGGGUGGAGCUUCUAAAGACGCGUCACUAAAAGAAAACGCCCUUCGUUCUCCUGGAGCUGCUUUUUCUCUUAAGGUCGUACAAAGCACUGAUUUUAAAAUAUAUGCAGAUUACAACAACAAAGGACGGCUGAGGUACACAAACGCUGAUUAAAUCCUCAUUACACCUGACGCUUUAUCACCUCAGAGGACAAGCGUUACCAUGACAUCAGGACAUACGGCGUUUUCUACACACACCACUAAAAAGACUAAGGACGGAUUGAUGAAGAGGACAGAAAAGCCAGACACACUGAUUUUCAUAACUAAUAAACACAACAGAGUAUCAUAUUUUCUUCAACUUAUACAGCACAACGACCUACUGUAUAUGUGGACUUUUUCAGCACCAACUACAGCACACAAGACCCAUAAAUGACUCGUAAUACACAAAAAUACACAAAAUGACUGAAAGAAUGACACCAAAUGAUUACAAUAACACACAAAACUGACUAAACAACAACAAAAGCCCACAAGAUAGAUGACUUUAAAAACAUAUAACAAUCAUAAAUACACAAAUUAAAGACUAAAAUACUCAAAAUAACUUUAAGAACAUAAAAAAACAACUAAAAUACACAAAAUGACUCUAAAAACAUUUUAAAAAAAAACUAAAGUACACAAAACGACUCCAAAAACCCACAAAAAAAUAACAAUUACGCAAAAUGAUUUAAAAAAAAAAAAAAAAAAAUACACAAAAAAACAUUGACAAAAUGAUAAAUUACACAAAAUGAUAACAAAGACCAACAAGAUAAUUCUAAAAAUACAAAAAGAAAGACAUGAAUACACAAAAUGACUCAAAAAACAUAUAAAAUAACAACAAAAUACAGGAAAUCACUCCAAAAACAUAUGAAAUAACAACAAAAACACACCAAGUAACCAAAAACAUAUAAGGUAACGAUACAAAAUUACAGCAGUUGUCUGAGUAUAUUAUUGAUCAGCACUUUUUCAGCCAAUAGCACAUCUUUUAAGAAGAGAGGCAGAACAUACAGGGAUGUGACUUAUUUGCAGAUUUUUCCUGGUGAAUAUGCCGUGUGCGAUAGUUCUGAAAAUAUGGAUCUUUUUUAUUCACCAACUGAUUAUUUUAAUUUUCAAAUAUUGAAACGUAGCGGGUCUGCCUGCCUCAGCAAAAAGGUCCUGGGUUCAAAAUCCCGGUGCUGGACGUUUGAUUCCAUUCUGUGUUGAGUUUGCAUGUUCUCUCCAUUUAUUGAUUAGUCUAAAUUUCAGCAGUAUAAAAUGUCAGUAAAAUCAUCCAAAUUGUUUUACUAUUUUUUUCUUUUCGAGGCUUUCCCUCACCUUAACUCCCUUCACUCCCUUCACUCCAACACAUUCUCCACUCCGUCGCCUCCAGAAUGAAAACAAAGGGGUGCGUUUGAUUCGGUCCACAGAGCACAGCCAUCGUUCCAUAUUCAUGUCACAGGCUGUGCGGCCGUUCCUUUUUCCUCCUGAACACACACACACACACACACACACACCCACACACACACACACACACACACACACACACACACACAGAGACGCUACCGUACUCUCAUACAUAUUCACAUCCAGGGCAGUAAUUGGAUUACCAUAAGUACUCUGAUUACAGCCACUGGUAUCAUGUUAUGCUGUAAUCACAAGAGACGUAACCUGAUUACUAAAUCCUGCAGAAUUGAUGGUGACGGUCAACAGCUCCUUCUUCCUGUCACCAUCCCUUAAUAAAAGAAACUAAACAAACGCA
ensembl:lncRNA